CCCCUCUCAGAGUCGCACCUGGAGAGUUUCCAGUAUUCUACCAGUCUUGACUACGGGAGGGAGAGUCAAACAGAGGCUCACCCAUUCCAUUUCUAGCCUGGGCAGUGGCUAGCGAAUGGAAGGCAAUCUACUACAAGU